rnacentral:ncRNA from 1 species
AAUCUUAGCGCUGGCUCUGGGAAGAUGUUUUCUCAGAGGACGAGGAGAAGGUUGUCGAGCCGUCAGCGGAUGCCUUCCGGCAUACUCUGCCGAUAGGCUGUGGUCAAAUCAUGCGGGUGACCGCGUGGACAAAGCUGCAGUCA